rnacentral:ncRNA from 1 species
AAAUAAAUUUUUAUAGUUUAAGAAAUUUAUUAUAAAUUUAUUUUACAUAUAAAUUUUGGUAAAAUUUAUUUUAUUUAAAUAAUAAAAUUUUAUUUAUUGUAGUAAUUUAUAUUAAAAAAUUAAGUAAUUAAGAUUUAGUAAUAUAAAAAUUAAUAACAAAUUUUGUGCCAGCAGUUGCGGUUAUACAAAAAUUAAAAUAAAUUUUUUUGGUAAUUAAUAAAUAUAUAUAUAUAUAUAUAAAAAAAUUUAUAUUAAAAAUUAAAUUAUUAAGUGAAAUUUUAAUUUAAUAAAAAAUUAACUAAUAUUAUAUGAUUUAAUAAAUUUUAUAAAAAACUAGGAUUAGAUACCCUAUUAUAAAAAUUUAAAUUUAAUAAUACUAAAAUAUUAAAUAAUUAUUUAUUGAAACUUAAAUAAUUUGGCGGUAUUUUAGUUCAUUUAGAGGAAUCUGUUUAAUAAUUGAUAAUCCACGAAUAAAUUUACUUAAUUUAAAAUUUUAUAUAUCGUUGUUAAAAAAAUAUUUUUUAAUAAAAAUAAUAUUUAAAAAUUUAUAUAAUAAAUUAAAUCAGAUCAAGAUGUAGAUUAUAAUUAAGAAUAUAAUGGAUUACAAUAAAAUAAUUUAAAUGAAUAUAUAUUUGUAAAAAUAGAUUGAAGGUGGAUUUAACUGUAAUUUUAUUUAAUUUAAUAAAAUGAUUUUUAAUUAAAAUAUGUACAUAUUGCCCGUCGCUUUCAUAUUUUAAAUUGAAAUAAGUCGUAACAAAGUAGAGGUACUGGAAAGUGUUUCUAGAAAGAA